ensembl:snoRNA SNORA74 Small nucleolar RNA SNORA74
CCCAGCUGUAACUGCCUAGGCUGCCUCGUACCUAGGCAAGCAUUACACUGCUGGGAGAAAAGCAGCUAAUAGCUGCCAGGCAUUCUGGGCCUAGUUAAUGCCAAGUUUGUGUUAACUAAACCAAUGUGCCAGCAUA